GGGCCCGCCGUGCAGGAGCUGUGCAGGCGUUCCCCCCCGGAGGUGAGACCCAACUCCGGACCAACACCUUGAACGGCACGGAAAGAAGCAACAGCACGUUGCCAGCGGAUUGUUGAUGGGGAACGGCCG
rnacentral:SRP_RNA from 16 species